rnacentral:rRNA from 1 species
GGAGUUUGGACCGUGUCUCAGUUCCAAUGUGGGGGACCUUCCUCUCAGAACCCCUACUGAUCGUCGGCUUGGUGGGCCGUUACCCCACCAACUACCUAAUCAGAAGCGUGCUCACCCAUAGUCCUUGCGUUUCAAAUCAAAGUCAUGCGGCUUCGAUUCACAUGGAGUAUUAAUUCAGCUUUCGCUGGGCUAUCCCCCGACUAUGGACAGAUUGCACACCUGUUACGCACCCGUGCGCCGGUCGCCGCCAAAGAAAGCAAGCUUUCUUCUCGAUGCCCCUCGACUUGCAUGUGUUAAGCCUGUAGCUAGCGUUCAUC